CUAGAUUCAGUUCUCUGAAGAAUAGCAGAAGUACUAUUCCUGUUUGAACCAUCCCACAGUCUCUCUUUUGAGUUCAGCUCCCCCAGUCGAUGUAUAGCUGACUAACAAUACAUUUCUGAGUCACACAAACCAACCUACAGCUUAUGUGGAAGAAGGUUUGGUCGUGGGGUGAAAAUUUCCUGUUGUGACAGUUCUGUAAUCGCCACUAUACAGAAUAAUAUGUGCAAGACUGGUGUGAUCUAUACAACAGACAAAGAUGGAGAUCUUACGUCAACACUUCUGGACAGCAUUACUGCUGGCCAUCAUUCUGGUGUCUCUGGCGAUAGUAAUUAUUUUCAUUUUCAUCAAUAUUUGCAUCAGUAAAAAAGCUGCUUGGUACAGUACACAAGCAAAACCAAAUCAUUACGAUGGCACAAAUUUUCAAAAACAGGAAAACCAAGUUUAUCACAAAGACCUUGAGAAUGAGAAACCACCCUUACCUCCCAGAGAUCAGUUCAUGUCCAUGGUUUCUGUGGAUCUUAGUUAUGAGGACGUGGAGCCUGUGCCGGACUAUAUUGUGGUUGAGGAGUCGACACCUCCUGAGCCCCAACAACCCACCUUCACUCCACACUACACCAUAGUCGAGACAAAAAGUCAAGAUCAAGAUCAAGACAGCGAGGAUUACGACGACAUUGAAACCCCUGAAAACGACGACGGUGAGGAUUAUGAUGACGUAGGGUAAAAGACACAAAUCAACAGUGGCUCUACUUCACCUUCAGCUAAGACACAUGAGAAGACCUAGAACUAAGCUACAUAUUUCCUGCAAAGUACUAUUCUACAUUAUUUGAGCAGAAACAAGUAUUAACAGCGUGUAACUUAAUACAACUGUGUUUACUUUCAUUUAUGUAAAGCGAUCUUUCACUUCCCAUUGUUACUAAUGCAAUAUGUCUUCCAAAAACGUCAUUUUCUGUUGAAGUACCCUUGGAUAUGGUUGCACAAGUUUAAAAGAUGUUGAUGAAACUUCUUAAGUUGAGAAAUAUCUCAAUAUAAUAUAUUAAUUAUAUAUUAUGCCUAUAAAUGAUAUUUGCACUAACAA